rnacentral:rRNA from 1 species
UGCUUAACACAUGCAAGUCGAACGGUAACGCGGAGAGCUUGCUCUCUGGCGACGAGUGGCGGACGGGUGAGUAACGCGUAGGAAUCUGCCCAGUAGUGGGGGACAACUCGGAGAAAUCCGAGCUAAUACCGCAUACGCCCUACGGGGGAAAGCGGGGGAUCUUCGGACCUCGCGCUAUUGGAUGAGCCUGCGUUGGAUUAGCUAGUUGGUGGGGUAAUGGCCUACCAAGGCGACGAUCCAUAGCUGGUCUGAGAGGACGAUCAGCCACACUGGGACUGAGACACGGCCCAGACUCCUACGGGAGGCAGCAGUGGGGAAUAUUGGACAAUGGGCGAAAGCCUGAUCCAGCAA